rnacentral:rRNA from 1 species
UACGUAGGUGGCAAGCGUUAUCCGGAAUUACUGGGCGUAAAGCGCACGUAGGCGGAUUGUUAAGUCGGGGGUGAAAUCCUGGAGCUCAACUCCAGAACUGCCUUCGAUACUGGCGAUCUAGAGUCCGGGAGAGGUGAGUGGAACUGCGAGUGUAGAGGUGAAAUUCGUAGAUAUUCGCAAGAACACCAGUGGCGAAGGCGGCUCACUGGCCCGGUACUGACGCUGAGGCG